rnacentral:rRNA from 1 species
AUUGAACGCUGGCGGCAGGCUUAACACAUGCAAGUCGAGCGGGGGAGGUUGCUUCGGUAACUGACCUAGCGGCGGACGGGUGAGUAAUGCUUAGGAAUCUGCCUAUUAGUGGGGGACAACAUUCCGAAAGGGAUGCUAAUACCGCAUACGCCCUACGGGGGAAAGCAGGGGAUCUUCGGACCUUGCGCUAAUAGAUGAGCCUAAGUCGGAUUAGCUAGUUGGUGGGGUAAAGGCCUACCAAGGCGACGAUCUGUAGCGGGUCUGAGAGGAUGAUCCGCCACACUGGGACUGAGACACGGCCCAGACUCCUACGGGAGGCAGCAGUGGGGGAUAGUGGACAAUGGGCGGAAGCCUGAUCCAGCCAUGCCGCGUGUGUGAAGAAGGCCUUUUGGUUGCAAAGCACUUUAAGCGAGGAGGAGGCUCUUAAGGUUAAUACCCUUGAUGAGUGGACGUUACUCGCAGAAUAAGCACCGGCUAACUCUGUGCCAGCAGCAGCCGCCGCAG